rnacentral:lncRNA from 1 species
GAAAACGAAAAAUUUUUUGAGUUGGGUUGCAACGCUUUUCCUUUAAAAGCCUUUGUUCUGAAUGUCGACUUCUCCUCUACAAACGCAUCUUUGAUCCUUCUUCUAUUUGGUUAUCAAUCGCAAAAUUUAAGGAAAGGUGCACUACUACUUAUACUAUUGUAGUACUCUCACUCACAUGAAGAAGAAGGUAAGUUUUUCCUUAUAUGAAGCAAGCUUGAAAUAUAUUACCUUUGACAUUUGAUACAGUGUUAAUGGUAUGAAAAAGUUAGAAAUAGACUUCGUUUCAUUUUUUUCAGUUCGAAAGUGCUUAAAGUAACAAAAUUUUGGAUUUUUCUCAUAAAAUCAGGUUCGAAAAUGGGAUUCAUUGUUUUAAAUGAAAUUUCUUUUCAUUACAGGAUGACUUGUCCACUAUAUUACAAACUACGAUUGAAGUAUGGCGAGG